rnacentral:tRNA from 1 species
GGAGAGGUGGCCGAGUGGUUUAAGGCAACGGUCUUGAAAACCGUCGUACAGCAAUGUACCGUGAGUUCGAAUCUCACCCUCUCCGCCA